CCCCUCACCUCCAUCCAGGAAUUCCAGCAGUCUUUCUAGGUAAGACAGAGGUUCAACUGCCCCUCGAACACAAAGU